rnacentral:sRNA from 1 species
UAACAUAAGUACUAUCAGUACAUCAACUAGUGAGUGUAUUUUCUUCUCGGCUAAGUGAAUGCCAAUUGGUUCACACACAUUGGAAACGCCCCUGAACCUAUAUAUAAUAACUGAUUUUAAAAACUUUCAACAAGUUAACACAUUUUUCUUCACUGCAGUAUUUAAUAUUACAAUAGCAAGUGUCUGGUGAGGAAAGGAUAAACUAGUGUAUAUUUUUAAAAAACCACUGUUAGUUGAUUCUAUUUACAAGUAAAACUUGUAUUGCCAUACAUAGAUUUAUAAUCUUUUAAAUCUUUCCAAUACUUAUAUUGAUUACUUUAAGACUAGCUAUUGACUAGAACAACAAAUUAAAUGUGAUCACAAAUGCAUCAAUAAAAUUAUCUACUGAAACAUUGCUAGUCACGACUAAUUAAUUAAAACCUAAAAUAAGUGUCUGAUUACAUGAUUUUUGUUUUGCAUCUAUCAGCUACUUUUAAAUACAGUUAUGAAAACCAGGAAAAUGCCACAUACCAGUUGCCUGUGUAGUCCAAGAGUAAAAAGUUUGUGUUGGGUCUAGUUAGUGAUCAAUAUAUUGGACAAAAUGUCCUGCUGACAGACAGCUGAGUAGUACUAGAGAAAACAGAUCAGAAGGAUCAAUCCAACAGUUAUUGAUUGGACUAAAUAAUGCAAUCAGUUAAGAGAAGUCAACUCCUAGAAACAUUACAUACCAUCCAACUGCUACUGGUAGUGCUAAUGAGGUAAAUGUGAGGGAGGGGAAAAGUUUUUUUGUUUUGUCAAACUUGUUCUAAGAUUGAAUGUGUAGCACAGUAGUUACAAAUUGGGACAUUUUUUUUUAGAAUUAGCAACUUAAACAGUAGUUGCUUUAUUUCACUUCUGGGUUUGAUCUUUUCAUAAGCUUAAAUUUGAUACAAACUGAGUUAAUUGUGUAUCCUCAAUAGAAUAGUCCCACUUCUGAGCACAACAACACACGAAGCAAAUGAUAAUAAACUUUUUUUUCUUUGUAAAAUACCCAGGAGUGUUGAAGCUCUUAAAGCAAAGUUAAGAAAAAAUGCAUUAAGUUUGAUAAAUAAAAUGUAAACAAAGGCAUCUCAUUCCAAUUCUGCUUUGCAGACAAUUUAGCAGCCUUUAACUAGGCCCUAUGAAAUCAACCACCGGUGGACAAUGAAUAUGCUUGGCCUAAAUGUGGCAAAAUAUGUAAAUCACAGCUGGGGCUUCCUAGCCACAAAAAAUACUGCAUUCCUCAAUCUUCCAACUCAAAGACAAGCAUUAAUAUUUAUCAUGAACUUUAACUUCAGACACUUGUUCUGACACCUAAUUAGAAUGCCUUGAAAUCAACCAACCCUGAGAGAAUAUAACACUCAGGCUUCAGUGCAAGAGGGAGACAAAAAAAAAAACUAGUGGAUCAAAGGAUUGAAGAAUGUUGUACACUUUAUCAGACCUUAACAAAAGGUUCACUUUCUGAGAAGUAGAAGCAGAUCAUUGCACCUAUCUGUAAAGACUUGACUUGUUUGCUACAGGAAUUAGGAUACUUCAUAAGAAUAGGAGAACUCAAUAACAAGGUUUAUCAAGAUUACUAGCUGGUUGUAGCUGCAAUUGAAUACUUGAAAGAGUGCGCACAUAAUAUUUUCUUCUCAAGACAAGGUGAUUCUUUAAUGAUGGGGUUGUUCUCUGACCUAUUUUAACCUAAGUCAUGUGGUCAGAGAUAAACAAUGGCUAGGACACUGUUAUUUCCAUUACAUUUUAAAUGAUAAUCUCAAAAGAUCGUUACCUUCUCUAACAUAUGAAUAGUUCAAUAAUUGUAAGCAUGUCAAUGAAUUAGUUUAUUUGCUUUAGUGUAUCUCAAUGUAACUGCAUUAUGCAACCAAAAAGAUAAAUAAAUAGGCCUAUGCUAGCCUCUAUGAAACUAUGAUACAACAAAAACUAUGUUAGUGUGGUAUAAACCCAGUUAAUCCAACUAACUGUAAGGUUUGAUCUGUUUUGUUUUUUUAUUGUAGAAAUUUAUAUCUAAAACCAGAAAUAAGAAAGAUGAUUCUUUCAACUGUUUUUGCAAUUAAAAAAAAAUAAUUCUGGGCCUAAACUACAAAUAUAUGCUCUAUGGGAUAUUAUAUAAAGUAGCUGAGACAGUCAUACAAUUAUUUUUCUUUAACUUUAACUAUUUUUUAAAGUUAUGUAUUUCUUAUAGUUCCAGAUUUAUAUACAUAGGAUAGACCUACACAAGUAACCAUAGAAGAUAUUAAGAACUAUUAAAAUGGUUGAUACUAUGAAGUAUUAUUAUGUUUGUUUAUUUUUACCUUGAAUUAAAAUCUUAAGAAAAGUUCUUGCAUUUUUUUUAUUUAAUGAGUUACUAUACAAAAAAUGUAACAGUAAACUUUCAAAAAUGUGUACAAGAUCUAUGUACUAAGUAGCUUAAAAUGAAAGUGUGGGGUAAAUAACAUUUGACCAGUGUAGGAGUAGAUCUAAAUUUAUGCCUGACUAACAAAUGUGUUAUUCGCUUGCUUCAGAUUCCCACUAUAAACUAACAGAAACUAAGUGCAGCACCAGAUGUCAACAACACAACCACAUGACUUGGAAGAAAUAAGGAACAACCCCAUUUUGAUAUUUCGACUAAGUUGUUGCUGACUUUCUUAACCAAGAGAUAUCAACCCUUAUAUAAUUCAAUAUUUGAACAGAAUUUUUUAAAAUCAAAUUAGUCUCAAGGAUAGAGAAAUGUUAUUAAUAAAGAAGCAGCCUAAAAAAAAAUUAAGUUUAAUAAAGAGAAAAAGGAA